AUUGAACGCUGGCGGCAGGCCUAACACAUGCAAGUCGAGCGGAUGAAGGGAGCUUGCUCCUGGAUUCAGCGGCGGACGGGUGAGUAAUGCCUAGGAAUCUGCCUGGUAGUGGGGGAUAACGUCCGGAAACGGGCGCUAAUACCGCAUACGUCCUGAGGGAGAAAGUGGGGGAUCUUCGGACCUCACGCUAUCAGAUGAGCCUAGGUCGGAUUAGCUAGUUGGUGGGGUAAAGGCCUACCAAGGCGACGAUCCGUAACUGGUCUGAGAGGAUGAUCAGUCACACGGGAACUGGGACACGGUCCAGACUCCUACGGGAGGCAGCAGUGGGGAAUAUUGGACAAUGGGCGAAAGCGUGAUCCAGCCAUGCCGCGUGUGUGAAGAAGGGCUUCGGAUUGUAAAGCACUUUAAGUUGGGAGGAAGGGAAGUAAGUUAAUACCUUGCUGUUUUGACGUUACCAACAGAAUAAGCACCGGCAAACUUCGU
rnacentral:rRNA from 1 species